UACGUAGGGGGCAAGCGUUGUCCGGAAUCAUUGGGCGUAAAGAGCGUGUAGGUGGCUCGGUAAGUCCGCUGUGAAAGUCCAGGGCUCAACCCUGGAAAGCCGGUGGAAACUGUCAAGCUUGAGUCCGGAAGAGGCGAGUGGAAUUCCUGGUGUAGCGGUGAAAUGCGCAGAUAUCAGGAGGAACACCAAUGGCGAAGGCAGCUCGCUGGGACGGUACUGACGCUGAGACGCGAAAGCGUGGGGAGCAAACAGG
rnacentral:rRNA from 1 species